GAGAAUACUUACUUGUUGGGAGCAAAUUAAGUCCUGAGUGAAUGUAUUUUGUUGACUUGGGCACAGCCACGGUAAGGACCCCAAUGCUUCAGCCCCAUCAGAAUGGCAAAGCCUUCUUUGGGUCCAGGUGAGAAUGUUGAUAGUGUGGGCAGAAAAUGUCCCUGAUAGCUUUCUUACCCCACCAUGUUUACAUCCUGAAGAUUGCUCCCCUACAGAGUCUGCUCCUACUGAGAUUAACUCAGCCUGUUUCCUUGUUUGGUUUUAUAUAAUAAGCCUGCCUCCAUAUGUAUCUAUAUGUGAUAACACCACUUCUCUGUUCAGCUGCAUGUAAUAAACACAUUCAGCUGGAGGAGCAGAGUGGUCUGUGGUUUCUCCAUUCAAGAGCUCAGCCCACCUUAUCCUACCCCUCUCACUCUCCCCAGCCCCCCCCCACACACCUCUCUGUGUAUACCUUUUUUUCAUUCCUGCAUUGCCUGUAGUCAGGGUUCAGGAACCCAAACUGUGCAAGGAUGAGGCACUUACUCAUUCAAGGAAGGCACUUACUCAUCACAUUUUAAUUCAUUGCACACUCAACACAUGGCUGGGCUUUAUUUAACCAAACCAAAGAGUUUAUGAAACAGCAUUCACCUUUACCAAGUGCAAUGCACGUGUCUCAUUGUUAGAUUCAAUGCUUAAAUGCUUCUGUGAUCAAGGAUUACAUAAUUCUACAUGUCUUCAACUGUUAUUGGUUUCUACAUUCCUGCACAUUAAAACCAUCACCCACUGUUUGUGAAUUCAUCGUUCGUAACAGCUUUACUUAUAACCACCAAAGACAGCCAUGAAAGGAACAAUGAGAAGAUGAACAAGAAUGGCAGAACACGUGCGUGCCAUGGGAUAACACUCAGUCUUAACAAGGGAGGAAAUGCUGACACACGCUGUAACAUGGAUGGAAUCCGAAGUUAAUAUGCUGAGCGAUGUUAGCGACUCACAAAAUACACACAAAGGUUUGCUCCAUUUAACUGAGGUAAUCUGAGGUAGCCCCAUUCAUAGAGACAGGGAAUGGAAUGGGAGAGGACAGAUAGUUAUGGUGGAGUUUAAGCGACAUCCCUGAAUAAUCCCCUGGGCAACUACGAGCAGCUAUUGCAACAGAAGAAUGCUCUUCUGCCAUAGUCCAUCAUUUACUUUUUGCAUAACCUGUGUGAGGAACCUUAUAAAAUCCCCUCGAAGUCUCAUGAGCUUCUCUGCUCCUCACAUGAGGAAGUAUCAACAGGCCAGAUAGUUUAUGGGACUUGUGUGUGAUCACAGCUCAUGUCUAACCUGGAGGGAACAACUUCACAAACAAUGGGAAUGUAGGAAGAACGAAUGGAGCUCAGAGUUUAGGGACUACAAAGAGUUUGGCUUUAAACUUUAACUUUAUUGUUGUAUAAGCAUGUGUACAUGAUGUGGGUGCACACAUGCAUGGAGAUCAGAGGACAGCUCUGUGGAGUCUGCUCUUUCUUCCACCUUUAAGUAUGUUCUGGGCAUUGAUGUCAGGUCACUGGGAUUGAACUCAAGUUGUCAGACUUGCCUGUUAAGCACAUUUACUUCCUGAGCUGUCUUGACAGCCCAGGUGUGGCUGACAGAAGAGCCAAGCUGUGGUGAUACUUUGCUUGUGCUCUAACAAAUAAAGCUUGCCUGGAUCGGAGUGCAGAGCUAGCCAUUAGUUAACCAUGGAGGCCAGGCACUGGUGGCACACGCCUUUAAUCCCAGCACUUGGCAUCUCAUGCCUUUAAUCCCAGCUCUAGGGAGGUGGAGACAGGAAGUGAUAUGGCUGGGCAGAGAGAGGCAUAUAAGGAGUGAGGAGACAGAGCUCAGCCCUUUUUCAGUUAGAGGAUUCCUAGAGGUAGGAAGUCUCUCUAGUGACUGGAUCCUUUGCUUCUCUGAUCUUUCACAUUUACCCCGAUAUCUGACUCCGGGUUUUUAUUAUUAGGACCAAUUAGAAUUUGAGCUACACCAGACCGAGGGUGACAGAGGAGCCAGGCGGAGGGUGACAGAGGAGCCAGGCGGAGGGUGACAGAGGAGCCAGGCAGAGGGGUUCGAACAGAACAGAUCUGGUCAGACAGGAUAACUUUGGUGAGCCCCACUGAGAAGUCAGGGUACAGCAGCAAGUGAGGAGUUUAUUUCAAUGAUCCAGACAUAAAGCAGGCACAGAGCAGGGUGGGGUAGGGGAGGAGUGAUAAAGAACAGGGAUUCUCAAUAAAACUGCCAAGACACUUACUGAGGGACUGGGUACAGGCCAUGAGAGCAAGAGAAUUGACUUUGACCUGAGCCUCCAGAGGGGAUUCUGGGGUACAACGCAAGAGCCUUUGGCACGGUCUAUGUAAGUGACUUAGCAAAUUAAUGUACCCAUUUUCCUGUAAGAUACAUUGAUCAAUGCCGAAGCCAUCUGACCUAUGUGGCCAAGAGAAGCCACUCCACAGUGCUCCUUCAUUGUGAUACGCCAAUUCUUGUUCUCAUCAAAUGAAUUAUCUGGUACCAAGAGUACCAAGACUUCUUCUAAAAGCCGUGUUCUGAUUUUCCUUUUAAUAAUUAAGCUGAAAGGCUCGGGAGACAGUUCAGGAGGUAAAAGCACAAGCAUGAGGACCCAAGUUUGAAAACUCAGGCCUACUGCGCGUGUCUCUAACUUCAGCUGUGGGGAUGAGACAGGCAGACCAGGAGAGCAACUCCCUAGCCAGCCACCCUAGCUAAAACGGCGACCUUCUGAUCCAGCACCAAACUGUCUUAAAGCAAUAAGAGGAGGGUGGCAGAUAAAGACACCCAGUGUCCUGCCCUCUGUGUGUGUGUAUGAGCACACAUACCUGCACACCCAUAUGCAUUCACCAUACACAAAAAAUACACAGAACACACAGACACACACACAAACACAGACACACACACACACACACACACACACAGAGUUCAUGGAUUAAUUAUAAUGUAAAAUAAUGGAACAUGAGUUUGAGAACAAAGAAUCAAAGGCUUCUGUAGGUGUUGAUAAUGGUGACUCUUAAAAAAAUACUGUUGAAUAUAAAACAGUUGUAGAAAAAAGAAUAAAAUGACAAAAAUACAGAACAAUUGUGCCUCAGGCUUCCUGCAAAUAUUUUAAACUUCUGCCUGCAAAUGAAUUUCAAAAGCAAUGUCCCCAGACUCAAGUUCACAAUCUCAAAUUUCUUGUGUAAAAUGACAGAAUAUUUGUAUUUAACCUAUUCAGCUUUCUCCUGUGUGUUUCAGUAUCCAGAUCACUUCUAAUUCCUAAAUUCAAUGUAAAUUCUAUGUGUGUGUGUGUGUGUGUGUGUGUGUGUGUGUGUGUAUAUAUAUAUAUAUAUAUAUAUAUAUAUAUAUAUAUAUAUAUAUAUAUAUAUAUAUAUAUUUGUGUGUGUGUGUGUGUGUUUUAGGACAGGGUUUCUCUAUGUAGCUUUGGAGCUUGUCCAGGAACUUGCUCUGUAGACCAGGCUGGUCUUAAACUGACAGAGAUCUACCUGCCUCUGCCUCCUGAGUGCUGGGUUUAAAGGCAUGUGCAACCAUUGCCUGGCUAUAAUAGACAUUAUAACACAUUGUUUGGAAAAUAUUGACAUGAAAAAUCCUUACAUAUUCAGUACAAUUUAAACUAAAAAAAAAAGUUUUCUAUCCAACAUUGCUUGAACAUGUGGCUACAAAAGCCACAGAUGAAAGGUCAGUUGUAUAUAAUAGAUGUUUUCAAAAGUGUUUGUCUCUCUUUUCUCUUUGGGUCUUUUCUCCUUUAGUAACUGAGAAACUGCCUAUUCAAAUCUCUUUGAAGGUAGCUGUUUUCACUGUAUGUUAUUGACUACAUACUCUUAAGAUGUUCACACUAACACACUUGAUUUUUAAAAGACAUAUUCAAUGUCUUCACGCUAGUGCAUAUGGGAGCAAGGUUCCUGGUUUCGUUUCUGAUGUAUUUUUGUGAAGAAUGAACUUAUCUUCAAACCAACCUUUAAAAUUAGUAACAAAUAUACAACUUGCAGAACUGCAGUCAUUGACCACAGAGUAGACUUCUCAACACUACUCCAUCACUAAAGGAUGUUGCAGUAGACUUCUCAAUGCUUUAACUCCACCACUAAAGGAUCUGUCAUAGGCAACUGAGUUCUAACACUGAGAUUUACUUCCUGUUAAAGAAGCAUCUGCCCCCAUGUUUAUCACAGCAUUGGUUACAGCAGUCAGGAUUAUGGAAUCAUCAUGAGAGCCCUUCACUGUUCCAGGUCCUGCAAGGCUGACUGGUUUGAGCUUUGCUAUUAUAGAGCUGGAUUCUCACUGCAGUUGAAAAAACUCGAACUCAGAAGUGGAGAGAACGAUGACUACUCAGGGCUGAGGCAGGAAGGAGUUGGAGGGAUGUUGGUAAAAGGAAACAGAAUUUCAGUUAGAAAGACUAUUCAAGAGAUCUUCUGUCCAACAUGGUGACCAUUAGUUAACAGCAGGGCAUUUGCUGGAAGAUUCCUAGCAAUAGCUUGUAGGUCUCCUCACUACCAAAGGUGAGAUAUUAGUUCCAUAUAGUAUGCAUACUUCAAAGAAUCAUCAGUGUUCAACAUAAAUAUACAUAAGUGACUUGUCAAUUCAUUUCUUGAGUUUAAGAAUAACGGAAGACACAAACAAGUUUGACCUCUUUCCAGUAACUCGUAAGGACACUAUAGAAACAGCCAUUAGUGCCCAGACAGUCCACUGAAGGUUUGUUCGAUCCCUCCAGUUGACACCACCAGCGAGUGUUACACAGGCUGCGAAAGAGCACUGCACAAGUGCUGUACGCCCAGCUCUAAGAGUAGUCAGUACGGCAAAACAGAAGGUGGCAUUGGUAUUGUAACACGUAAAACAGAAGGUGGCAUUGGUAUUGUAACACGUAAAACAGAAGGUGGCAUUGGUAUUGUAACACGUAAAACAGAGAGCUUUUUGCCUCACUCCUUCUGCUUUACCUGUGGCCGGGGACCAGCUCUCACUUGCCUACCUACACACACACACACACACACACACACACACACACACACACACACUUAUUGCAUGCUUCCUCUUUCUCCAGUCUCUGUGUGUUUCUCCUUUUUGUUUCCUGAUUUCUAAUUCCCUCCCUGCCCCAGUGCCCAGCCUUUCUUCUUCUUCUUCUUCUUCUUCUUCUUCUUCUUCUUCUUCUUCUUCUUCUUCUUUUAAUAAGAAAUACAAACUACUAAAAGCAUAUGCAAUGACUACAUUAUUCAAAUUCGCAGUUCUAAAUCUUCUGCCUCAGGCUAGAACCACAGAUUUCUUUUUCAGGACAAGAAAUAAAACCCAGCUCAAGCCUGGCUCACCUAGCAGCUGGGUAUUUAGCCAUCACUCCAACUGGACAUUUUUGCUCCUCCCUUGGUACUUUAUUGAUGGUUUCCAAGCAACAUUAACAACACAAACGUUCACUAUAAGAAUAUCAUAUACGAACUUAGUUGUGACACGAAAGUCACUAAUUUACUGAAAUUAACAUUAUGAACACAUAAUGGGGAAAAUGUUC